CCUACGGGUGGCAGCAGUGAGGAAUAUUGGUCAAUGGGCGUAAGCCUGAACCAGCCAAGUCGCGUGAGGGAUGAAGGUUCUAUGGAUCGUAAACCUCUUUUAUAAGGGAAUAAAGUGCGGGACGUGUCCCGUUUUGUAUGUACCUUAUGAAUAAGGAUCGGCUAACUCCGUGCCAGCAGCCGCGGUAAUACGGAGGAUCCGAGCGUUAUCCGGAUUUAUUUGGUUUAAAGGGUGAGUAGGCGGUAUGUCAAGUCCAGGGUGAAAUCCCCGCGUUCAACGUUGGAACUGCCUUUGAAACUGGCAAACUGGAGUGUUGGAGAGGAUAGUGGAAUUCCAGGUGUAGGAGUGAAAUCCGUAGAUAUCUGGAGGAACAUCAGUGGCGAAGGCGACUAUCUGGCACAUAACUGACGCUGAGGAGCGAAAGCGUGGGUAGCAAACAGGAUUAGAUACCCCUGUAGUC
rnacentral:rRNA from 1 species